AGAAUGAAGAGAGAGAGAGAGAGCCAGUCUGCAGGAUCAGUUGUUGGUACCACAUCUUUUAAUCUUCCUUCCCCUGUUUUACUUCUUACCCUUGUAUGAUAAGAAGAAGAAGGGUUUGGAAGGAAGGUUUCUACACUUUGGGGGAUUGGUGGAUGACCCCCAUUUGUCUGCUGCACCUCUUCUCAGUGCUGGUGGUGAAGGGAUUGGUGGGAACAGACCUUCUCAGAACUCUGUGCAAUCUGAGGGCAGCUACAAUCUCUCUUCGAGCUUCUGCCAUGUUGAACAAUCUUUCUUGGUGCUCACCAUGGCUGUCAAGAUCUUGGAAAACACCACCUACAACCUCCUCUUUCGCUGACGAUGGAUCUGUUGAAGCUCUGGACCUCGAGGAGCUCAGUUGCUUGACAAGACUACGAAUGUACGCACCGGAGAGAUGCGUUUCUUCUUUGUGGUUUGGCUUCUCCACCUCCACGCUUCUGUUGACGGUGUGCUUGAAGCAGGAGUGGCUCCUCAUGUCUCUCAAUGGUGACUAAAGUACAAGGCAGUUUCCUAGUCCUGGAAGGCAACUAAACAAGGCCUCAUGGGGUUGCUAUAAAUACUAAAAGACAUUGUUGCAUUUGCUACUGUUUCUGCAGUCAGCAAUGUGCAAGCAUCCUCAAUUCUCUUGAUGUUUUAGCAUCUGAGUGAGGGUAAAAUGAUUGGCUCAUGAUCCUAAGAAUCUACAAUGUGCCAUUUUCACAAAGUGAAAAUUGUACAAGUGGUUAAUUUGGAUUUAGCAGUAUAGAUCUUAUGUAAUUGUUGGAUCCUUCAGUUUGGUGACUUCAAGUAUUCGUCGAUAAGCAAACUAAUGUUGUCGAUUAGAAAACUUUUAAGUCUGAUUGUGUGGUAUUACUCUUAUUUUUAUGUAAGAUUUCUGUUUCAUUCAGCAAGAAAGUUGAGCUGUUCAUAGA